rnacentral:lncRNA from 1 species
GGAUCUGGAGUCUGUAUAGGUAUGGGACUAUACAGUUGAAGGAUAGCUUAAAGGAAUUGAUUUGGCUACUCAUAUCAACAAAUGCAUUUGCUUUUCGGUAGCCUAACUCAUAAGAACUUCAUGGUUAAGCGUGCUUAGCCUAGAGUAAUUAUGGGAUGGGUGACCUUCCGGGAAGUUUUCUCGGAAAGUGUGUGAGUGAGGACAAAGCACACUGGAAAGCCUCGUGUUGAUGUGUGGGGGCAGUCAACAGUCCCUGUAAGUUGUCGGGGCGUUACAAAUGGUAUCAGAGCCUAACCUCUCCCAGUACGGUGUGGUUCGAGGACGAACCAGACGGAAGCUGGUGGGCA